rnacentral:rRNA from 1 species
GUCCAAUUAGCUAGUUGGUGAGGUAACGGCCCACCAAGGCGACGAUUGGUAGCCGGACUGAGAGGUUGAACGGCCACAUUGGGACUGAGACACGGCCCAGACUCCUACGGGAGGCAGCAGUGGGGGAUAUUGCACAAUGGGGGAAACCCUGAUGCAGCGACGCCGCGUGGAGGAAGAAGGUUUUCGGAUUGUAAACUCCUGUCGUUAGGGACGACAAUGACGGUACCUAACAAGAAAGCACCGGCUAACUACGUGCCAGCAGCCGCGGUAAAACGUAGGGUGCAAGCGUUGUCCGGAAUUACUGGGUGUAAAGGGAGCGCAGGCGGACCGGCAAGUUGGAAGUGAAAUCCAUGGGCUCAACCCGUGAAUUGCUUUCAAAACUGCUGGCCUUGAGUAGUGCAGAGGUAGGUGGAAUUCCCGGUGUAGCGGUGGAAUGCGUAGAUAUCGGGAGGAACACCAGUGGCGAAGGCGACCUACUGGGCACCAACUGACGCUGAGGCUCGAAAGCAUGGGUAGCAAACAGGAUUAGAUACCCUGGUAGUCCAUGCCGUAAACGAUGAUUACUAGGUGUUGGAGGAUUGACCCCUUCAGUGCCGCAGUUAACACAAUAAGUA